UGGGGAAUAUUGCACAAUGGGGGGAACCCUGAUGCAGCGACGCCGCGUGAGUGAAGAAGUAUUUCGGUAUGUAAAGCUCUGUCAGCAGGGAAGAAGAAAGACGGUACCUGACCAAGAAGCCCGGCUAACUACGUGCC
rnacentral:rRNA from 1 species